rnacentral:rRNA from 1 species
UUCUAAGGGCGGUGAAGUCAGACCGGAAGGACUGGUGGAGCGCUUAGAAGUGAGAAUGCCGGUAUGAGUAGCGAAAGAAGGGUGAGAAUCCCUUCCACCGAAUAUCUAAGGUUUCCUGAGGAAGGCUCGUCCGCUCAGGGUUAGUCGGGACCUAAGCCGAGGCCGAUAGGCGUAGGCGAUGGACAACAGGUAGAGAUUCCUGUACCAGUGCUAAUUGUUUAACCGAUGGGGUGACACAGAAGGAUAGGGAAUCGCACGAAUGGAAAUGUGCGUCCAA